GGGUUGUGAGGUUAAGCGACUAAGCGUACACGGUGGAUGCCCUGGCAGUCAGAGGCGAUGAAGGACGUGCUAAUCUGCGAUAAGCGUCGGUAAGGUGAUAUGAACCGUUAUAACCGGCGAUUUCCGAAUGGGGAAACCCAGUGUGAUUCGUCACACUAUCAUUAACUGAAUCCAUAGGUUAAUGAGGCGAACCGGGGGAACUGAAACAUCUAAGUACCCCGAGGAAAAGAAAUCAACCGAGAUUCCCCCAGUAGCGGCGAGCGAACGGGGAGCAGCCCAGAGCCUGAAUCAGUGUGUGUGUUAGUGGAAGCGUCUGGAAAGGCGUGCGAUACAGGGUGACAGCCCCGUACACAAAAAUGCACAUAUUGUGAGCUCGAUGAGUAGGGCGGGACACGUGGUAUCCUGUCUGAAUAUGGGGGGACCAUCCUCCAAGGCUAAAUACUCCUGACUGACCGAUAGUGAACCAGUACCGUGAGGGAAAGGCGAAAAGAACCCCGGCGAGGGGAGUGAAAAAGAACCUGAAACCGUGUACGUACAAGCAGUGGGAGCACGCUUAGGCGUGUGACUGCGUACCUUUUGUAUAAUGGGUCAGCGACUUAUAUUCUGUAGCAAGGUUAACCGAAUAGGGGAGCCGAAGGGAAACCGAGUCUUAACUGGGCGUUAAGUUGCAGGGUAUAGACCCGAAACCCGGUGAUCUAGCCAUGGGCAGGUUGAAGGUUGGGUAACACUAACUGGAGGACCGAACCGACUAAUGUUGAAAAAUUAGCGGAUGACUUGUGGCUGGGGGUGAAAGGCCAAUCAAACCGGGAGAUAGCUGGUUCUCCCCGAAAGCUAUUUAGGUAGCGCCUCGUGAAUUCAUCUCCGGGGGUAGAGCACUGUUUCGGCAAGGGGGUCAUCCCGACUUACCAACCCGAUGCAAACUGCGAAUACCGGAGAAUGUUAUCACGGGAGACACACGGCGGGUGCUAACGUCCGUCGUGAAGAGGGAAACAACCCAGACCGCCAGCUAAGGUCCCAAAGUCAUGGUUAAGUGGGAAACGAUGUGGGAAGGCCCAGACAGCCAGGAUGUUGGCUUAGAAGCAGCCAUCAUUUAAAGAAAGCGUAAUAGCUCACUGGUCGAGUCGGCCUGCGCGGAAGAUGUAACGGGGCUAAACCAUGCACCGAAGCUGCGGCAGCGACACUAUGUGUUGUUGGGUAGGGGAGCGUUCUGUAAGCCUGUGAAGGUGUACUGUGAGGUAUGCUGGAGGUAUCAGAAGUGCGAAUGCUGACAUAAGUAACGAUAAAGCGGGUGAAAAGCCCGCUCGCCGGAAGACCAAGGGUUCCUGUCCAACGUUAAUCGGGGCAGGGUGAGUCGACUCCUAAGGCGAGGCCGAAAGGCGUAGUCGAUGGGAAACAGGUUAAUAUUCCUGUACUUGGUGUUACUGCGAAGGGGGGACGGAGAAGGCUAUGUUGGCCGGGCGACGGUUGUCCCGGUUUAAGCGUGUAGGCUGGUUUUCCAGGCAAAUCCGGAAAACUAAGGCUGAGGCGUGAUGACGAGGCACUACGGUGCUGAAGCAACAAAUGCCCUGCUUCCAGGAAAAGCCUCUAAGCAUCAGGUAACAUCAAAUCGUACCCCAAACCGACACAGGUGGUCAGGUAGAGAAUACCAAGGCGCUUGAGAGAACUCGGGUGAAGGAACUAGGCAAAAUGGUGCCGUAACUUCGGGAGAAGGCACGCUGAUAUGUAGGUGAAGUCCCUCGCGGAUGGAGCUGAAAUCAGUCGAAGAUACCAGCUGGCUGCAACUGUUUAUUAAAAACACAGCACUGUGCAAACACGAAAGUGGACGUAUACGGUGUGACGCCUGCCCGGUGCCGGAAGGUUAAUUGAUGGGGUCAGCGCAAGCGAAGCUCUUGAUCGAAGCCCCGGUAAACGGCGGCCGUAACUAUAACGGUCCUAAGGUAGCGAAAUUCCUUGUCGGGUAAGUUCCGACCUGCACGAAUGGCGUAAUGAUGGCCAGGCUGUCUCCACCCGAGACUCAGUGAAAUUGAACUCGCUGUGAAGAUGCAGUGUACCCGCGGCAAGACGGAAAGACCCCGUGAACCUUUACUAUAGCUUGACACUGAACAUUGAGCCUUGAUGUGUAGGAUAGGUGGGAGGCUUUGAAGUGUGGACGCCAGUCUGCAUGGAGCCGACCUUGAAAUACCACCCUUUAAUGUUUGAUGUUCUAACGUUGACCCGUAAUCCGGGUUGCGGACAGUGUCUGGUGGGUAGUUUGACUGGGGCGGUCUCCUCCUAAAGAGUAACGGAGGAGCACGAAGGUUGGCUAAUCCUGGUCGGACAUCAGGAGGUUAGUGCAAUGGCAUAAGCCAGCUUGACUGCGAGCGUGACGGCGCGAGCAGGUGCGAAAGCAGGUCAUAGUGAUCCGGUGGUUCUGAAUGGAAGGGCCAUCGCUCAACGGAUAAAAGGUACUCCGGGGAUAACAGGCUGAUACCGCCCAAGAGUUCAUAUCGACGGCGGUGUUUGGCACCUCGAUGUCGGCUCAUCACAUCCUGGGGCUGAAGUAGGUCCCAAGGGUAUGGCUGUUCGCCAUUUAAAGUGGUACGCGAGCUGGGUUUAGAACGUCGUGAGACAGUUCGGUCCCUAUCUGCCGUGGGCGCUGGAGAACUGAGGGGGGCUGCUCCUAGUACGAGAGGACCGGAGUGGACGCAUCACUGGUGUUCGGGUUGUCAUGCCAAUGGCACUGCCCGGUAGCUAAAUGCGGAAGAGAUAAGUGCUGAAAGCAUCUAAGCACGAAACUUGCCCCGAGAUGAGUUCUCCCUGACUCCUUGAGAGUCCUGAAGGAACGUUGAAGACGACGACGUUGAUAGGUCGGGUGUGUAAGCGCAGCGAUGCGUUGAGCUAACCGGUACUAAUGAACCGUGAGGCUUAACCUUACAACGCCGAAGGUGUUU
rnacentral:rRNA from 1 species